UGGUCUCUUCCCGCUGAACCUUUUCCAGGCUCUCAGCCAGACUCUCUCCUCUCAGAUGACCUUUCAGCAAGCUGUGCAGCUUCUCUAGCUGACGUAGCGAGACUCCUUCUAGAUCAGGAUAAUGGACGGAGGCUUAAAGCGAAUGCCGCACUUCUUCGCAACGCAAGCCAUUGCAGUUCUUGCUGACAGCUGAAGCGCGCUCGGUUUUAUCAGAAGUCCUCAGCAACUUCAGCGCUCACUGAAAAACAGGAACAAAGGGAAAGAAAGCAUAAGUGGCUCUUGGUUGUUGUCUUUUAUCAGGAUUAGUGACCCACAUGCAGUAACAACGUGCACCACAGUGCAAGUCUCCCUAACUCUGGGGGGACUUGAACACGUCCUUAUGUGCAAUUUGAGCUGGGCAUGGGGAGCAGAAUGACUCUCAAGGGUUCAUUUACACCUUUGUUACCUCUCGGCUUUUGAAUCUGGAUUACGUAUCACACACAAGUUAAAUUCUUAGUCCACAGCUAAGUAAAGAACUGCACAGUCAAAUGAUACCUAAAGCACAUUUCAUAAGGUAAGGGAGAAGCCUGCAGGCAUACAGUUGGCGUAUCUAACGUGGGAAUUCCUCUUCAAAAAAAAAAA